AAAUAUGAAGCAAUAAUUGGCAUUUAGUUUCGACCUAAUCUUAGAUGAGACAUCAUCCAUAUUUU
rnacentral:tRNA from 1 species